UCUAAAGUUCAAGGUAGUUGUUCUUGUUUUGAAGAGUUAUGAUUGCAAUUACUCUCUCUCUCUCUCUCUCUCCAUCUCAAACUUGGAUAUGUAGCGAAUUUCAUUUUUCCCUCACUUUCUCUAGUACAUUUUCUUCAACUUUCUCUCUCUCUACAAACCUAUUCUCUGUUGCAAAUGUCAUUUUUAACUAUCACUCUCUAACUGCAUGCAAAACCUCCUCUUUACUGUUAAAUUUUUUUUUUGAGGCUACCGUUUUUUCUCUUGGUCUAAUGGUGUUCUAUUAGAAAAAAGACUACUCUGUUUUUCAGUCGUUCUUUAGAUAGUGAUUUAUGAGGGUCACCUGAAAUAUCUUCAUAUGUGUUCUUCUAGGAGGAUUUCAUUCGGGUUUCUUGCAAAUAAAAUCUCAGUCGAUCUUUUGUAGCACUGGAGAAACAAAUCUCUAUUGAAUAUGGGACAUUUAUGUGGCUUGACUAUUAUUUCUUGUUAUGUUUCUCUAUUUAGGUUUAUUAUUUCCUCAUGAAUAUGUUUUGGAUUCUGAUCUUAUGCUCGGUACCAUUUUUGUGUUUCGAUAGGAGGAUAAUAUCAGAUUUGUAUGGAUUCACUCAGUGAGAUUGGAACUUGUUGUUGUACUCUUCUGGGUGAGAUUUUUAUUUCCUUCUAAUCUGUUUGGGUUCUGAUAUUAUGGCUUUCUUAAGAGUUUUUCAGUGCUGUUCUUGUAUUUUGAUCAGUGUUCAAAAACUUGGCCGAGUUGACUCCAAUUCAGUGGAGUUACUCGGCCUCGGUACCUUAACGAGGCGAGUUCGAAGUAUAAACUCAGGUGCAUUAAAAACUGAAAAAAAAUUAUACAUUUUGUUACUAACUCACUAAUACAUGAUGCAUAAAUAUUAUUUUUUGGGUAGAGUUCUGCGGUUGGAGUCGAACUUGAGAUGUAGCAUUGCUAACUUCAACUGCUACUUAAACCCAAACGCGAUUCCUUAUGUAUAAAUAUGUUACUACGUAAUUUUUCUACUUUUUUGUGAUGAUUUGUCAUUUUUCUUAUUUUAUGCUCUGUUUUUCUGCUUUUCCCUUUUUUUGGAUUUUUUUGAUUAAUUUCAUGGUAUAAAUUAAAGUUUUCCAUAUUCCAUAUUCUAUCUUCUAUAUUCUUUCCAUCUUUUGUAUUAAUACUGUUUAUAACUUCUAUUGCUAUUUUACUUUUUUUAAUAAAAUUAUUACCGUUUGUUUUGCAAUUUUUGAGCCCUUUUUGGGCCCAUGCAUGACUUGGAUGAGUCCACUCAGGCACAUUAAAAAAAAAAUAAUGUUCCCUCAGACUGGCUGGAGUUACAUAGCUGAGGCAGAGGCUGAGUCAAGAGCCCUAGCCUAGUAAUUUGACAUUGAUUUUGAUUUAGGCGUAUUCUCAAGUUCCUAUGGAUUCAUCCAAUGGCAUAGGACCAAUAAGCUGUUCUUAGUUUUAUCUAUGGUGUGAAUUUGAAGUUGUCGCCCAUAGUUUUUAUUUUCAGAAUCAGAUUUUAUUGCUUAUUGCAAUUUGUAAGCUCAUUCUAGCUCUUCUAUGUGAACGUUUGUAAUAAAUGACCUUUAUGCAUUUUCUUAUAGUUUGUUGCUUAUUUGGCCUGGCAGAGCAAGUCUUUGUUUGAUGCAUUGUACACUUCUGAUGAAAUGCAUCUUAGAGGCAUGGUUACCCCAAUUAUCUGGAAUGAUCGGUUAGAGAAAGUAAUUAGGUUAUUUCUAGAUAUGCCUAAAUUAUAUAGAGUUUCUCAGUGGUAUUUUUUCUCUUUUUAUUGGAGGAUAAUCUCAGAUUUCUAUGAUUGCAUUUAGUAUUAUAGGAAUUUGUUGUUGUGCCCUCUAUGUGGGAUUACUUUUUUGUUUAUGUUAAGAUCGUUUUGGGUUCUGAUCUUAUGACUUCUGUUAAGAGUUUCUUGUUGCCUUUUUUGUAUGAUUAGAGCAUAAUCUCAAGUUUUUAUGGAUUCACACAGUGGUACAAGAGCAAUGAGCCAUUCUUAGUUUUAUUUAUGGUUCUGAUUUGAAGCUGUUCAAUAGUUUUUAUUUUUCAAAAUCUGACUUUGUAUUGCUUAUUGCAAAUUUGCAAGCUAAUUCUAGCUCUUCAAUGUGAACUUUUGUCAUAAAUGCCCUCUAUCCAUUUUCUUGUUUAUUGCUUGCUUCAUCUUGCAAACUGGAUCUUUGUCUGAUGCAUCAAAUUAUUAUUGUUCAUGAUCAACUAGAAAAUUUAGUGUUUUUUCCUAGAGAUGCCUAGAUUCGGUUUCGAGCCAAACUCAAUGGAUCCUUGCAGGCUUCCACUAAUCCAAGGAACCUAAGAAUGGGUCAGGUCACCACCCUCUAAUGAUAAAGCUGGUUUACAUGUAGGUGUCGAAGAAAAUCAUCUGAGUGAUAAAUUUUGAGAUCUACUAUUUGCUAAUGAAUUUGACAUUGACAUCUAAAACUUGAGGUCAUUGUAAUGGGUACAUGUUACAUGUAUACCUGCAGGAUUAUUAUGUGGGCUAAUUUUACUCAUAUGGACAUAUUUUAGUUGUGAACCACAAACAAUAAUGCAUGUCCCUUAUUUAUAUUGUCUGGGCUUCCUGGUGUCCUGCAAUCACAGUAUUGUUGCUUAUAGUCAUUAUAGGACUAAUGUGUGAUGAGCACUAAUGAUAAAAUUUAAUUAAUUAUGUUUACGGCUUUUUCUGUCUACAUUGUCAUCCCUAUUUAUUUUAUUUUUUUUGAAGAAAAGUUAACAUUGUAUUAUGGAGGAGAAAAAUACAUAUAGUGAUAAGAGAGGACCCACGGGUCGGUCCUCUCAGUGGGAGGCUUAUAACACCUCUGAGAAACAAGUGUUGUACAAACUGUGCUCUAGAAAAGUUGGCUAGUACAAAGGUAGGGGCCCUGUUUACUUAGGCUUUGGGAGCUAAGUGCCAGACUGGGCAGUGCUUAAAAUGGUGUUGACAAACAGAGAUGAAGAAGUGUGAGUGGUUGGGUCUCCCAGGCUUAGGUGGUGGCUACGGCUUGAGUGAUGGCGUCCUCCUUAGCUAGAUGGUCUGCCAGUGCGUUUGAUUCCCUUCCACAAGAAGUGGUUGACCCCACGCAGGCUCAAAGAGUUUAAUGCCCAUAAGCAAGGCAAGAGCAGCCGUCGAAGUUGAACUUAAUUGCACCCCGCAGCAGGGGGGACCAUCCCCUAUGGCGAGUGGGUUGAGUGUUCUGAUGUAGAAGAGAUUGUUGCCAGUUGACAAGGAUGCGGGAGGAAGGGAGGUACUUGAAGGUUUUGUGAUUGGUGGCCCAGAAGGUCACGAGGGUGUGGAUUUUGUGGAACAAGGCGGGAUUAUCGCGAUGGGCCCCUUGAAAUAUUCUUGUGUUCCUUUCCAUCCAUAGAGUCCAUAUCGUGGCCUCCGUCGCUGCCUUCCAAAGGAGCCUCCCAGCUUUGGGCCACAGUAAACAGUCUGCUAGGUUAAAAAGUCCGGGGAUAGAGGCCGGCAUGGCCUAGGUCAAGCCAAAAAGGUUAAGGAGUUUCCUCCACUGGUAAUGGGUAAUAUCGCAGUGGAUGAAUAAGUGAGGGUGGUUUUCUUCUUCUUUUAGACAAAGGACGCAACGGUUCGGCAGAGGGAUACCUCUUCGCUUGAGUUGGUCCACUGUUAGCGCUUUUUCCACGCAAGCGAUCCAAUUGAACGCUUGCACUUUAGGUGGCGCUAUAGAUGACCAAACCUUGUAAGCUACCGGAAGGGGUGAGGGAUGAGAUGGUAGUAAGGUUCUAUAGAAGGAGGACACCGAGAAGGAGCCGAAGGCGUCUGGCAUCCAUAUGAUCCUGUUUGGCCCUAAAGGUAGAAUAAAUUAAUUGUUGAGCAAGGCCAAGAGGGGGAUGAACUCUAGGAGUUCGGCAUUAGGAAGAGCUCACCUAAAAGAGGGGUUCUAAACUCUUAUGUUGCCUGUCAGCUGAAGUUCUUCCAAGAUCCAGGAUAGCGGCUUUGUUGUGAGGGAAUACAAAGAGGGAUAAAGAUCCCUGAGAGGGUGUGUCCCAACUAGAGGUUUGACCAAAAUCGAACCCUACUGUCAGACCUCGGGUGGAACCAAUUGGAUUGUUUAAAAGUAGACAAGAUUGAGAGGAACGAUCUCCAAGCUCUCGAGGGUCUGCUGUGGGACCUUCCCUCUGGUAGCCAGUCUUCAGGGGGGAUUCUAUACUUGUGUUGGAGCACUCGUGACCAGAGCAGAUUAGGGGAGUUCAUCAAGCGCCACCACCAUUUGCCCAACAGAGCCAGGUUUUGCUUUCUCAGGGAACGAAUCCCAAGUCAUCCUUGAGGUCGGCAGGCCGUGUCCCAAGCGAUGAGCUGGAAUUUUUUUUGACCCAGGCUCUCUAGACCAGAGGAAGUUCCUCAUAAGUUGUUCCAGUCUAUUAGCUACCGCUGCAGGCAUAUGGAAGAGGGACAUUAGGUAGAUAGGGGUAUUGGAGAGUGUGGCUUUAAUAAGCGUGGUGCGUCUCCCCUUCCAACCAGCAAGCCAUCAAUCGACUCUGUCAAUUAUAGUUGACCACUGAGUCUUUUUUUGUUUCCCAAUGCCCAGGGGCAUCCCCAGGUAGUUAGUUGGGAGGUCUUCCACUUUGCACGUCCAACCUAGGAGCAAGGCUCUGGUUUUGUCAGGGGUGAGGGCAAUCCCUAUCAUCGUUGACUUUGACAUAUUAACCUUGAAACCUAUGGCAAACUCAAAGCUCCUAAGGAACAUUUGGAGGCAUUCAACUUCCUUAGAAUUGGCGUCAAUGAACACUAAAGUGUCAUCGGCGUAUUGCAGAUGGGAGACUGAGGGCCCCUUGCAUUGCUUUUGAAGCCAUUCAAGAGGCCCACCUGGUACAAUCUGGAAAGUGAUUGGCUAAAGACUUCGACAACUAUUGUGAAGAGAACAGGAGAGAUGGGGUCUCCUUGUCGGUGACCCCUUGAAGAGGGGAAGAAGCCUUUAGGUGUCCCGUUAACCAAGAUGGAGAAAUGGGGGUUUGAAUAACAACCCCUCAUCCAUCUCCGCCACCUAUCCUCGAAAUCCAUUCUACCCAUAGUCUCGUUUAAAAGUGACCAGUCCACAUGGUCGUAGGCCUUCUCCCAGUCGAUCUUAAAGAUGAGUGUUAGUUUUUUUAGUAAGUGACGAGAGUGAAGGCACUCGUGAGCGACCAGGACCACAUCUAGGAUUUGUCUGUCCUUUAUAAGGGCGCUUUGUGAGAGGCAGAUGCAAAAAGGUCGCACUUCUUUCAAACGAGUCGCCAGGAGUUUAGACAGGAUCUUGUAGGAAAAGUUGACCAAGCUGAUCAAUCUAAAGGCCUUUAAUUCGUUUGCUCCUUCCAUUUUGGGGACAAGGGCUAUGAAGGUGGCGUUCAUUGCUUUAUGAAUGAUGCCCCUAUGGUAGAAUUCUUCAAAGAAAUUGAGGAAGUCCAAUCUAAAGGUCUCUCAUAGGGCCUUGAAGGGAGCCAAUGGAAAGCCAUCCGGACCUGGCGCUUUGUCCUUUCCAAGGUCCGUAAUUGCUUUCACAAUUUCCUCUUCUGAGAAUGGAUGUUCCAGCCAAUUUGACCACUCCAGAAUGAGCAACUGGAAUUGUAGGUUUACCAUUCUCGGUCUAGGCUCGAUAGGAGCCACGUAGAGAGCUUUGUAGAAAGCCAGGAUGGCUGCUUCCACCUGGUCGGGUUGGUCCAGGGUGGUAUCACCCACUUUAAGUAGUGAUAUGGAGUUCACCCGACACCGGCAGUUAGCAAUCCAAUGGAAAAAGCCUGUGUUAUAGUCACUUAGGCUGAGCCAUUUCACUUUGGAUCUCUGGUACCAGAAAAUUUCUUCUUUCUUCAGAGUGGAGAGAUAGUCCAACUCUUGUUGGGCUCUAAGAUUGCUGUCAGAAGUGGAGAGUGGUCUGAAUUCCUCUAGGUUGUCCAGCUCUUGGAUGGAGUUGAGAAGAGAGGUUUUCACUAGAGAGAACUUCCCAAGGAUGUUCUUGCUCCACUCUUUGAGAGAUUUCUUAAGAAGUUGGAUCUUGGUUUGUAGGAUGAAGCUUGCCCUACCAGAAACUAAGGAAGAGAAGGAGUCCCACCAGAAUGGGAUGAGGGAGGAGAGGGAUGAGUUUUUCAUCCAAGACAGUUCAAACUUAAAGCGUUUAGGUCCUCUGGGGAUAGGUUGGGUGUUUAAAAAGACAGGGCAGUGGUCCGAAGUUGGUUUUGGAAGAGCUGUGGAGAGGGAUCCUGGGAAGGCAUCGUCCCAGAGCAAAGAGAGUAAGAAUCUAUCAAGUUUAGAGAGGGUGGGCUGAGAGAGUGAUCAGACCGGGUGAAAAGGUUCCCUUGGAGGGGGAUAUUGAGGAGUUCAUUUCUUGAGAUGAAAUUUGAGAAUUCUGCCAUGGCUAGUGGGAGUGAGGCCGGGCAGUCGAGUUUUGCCCAGAAAGCGGUUCUAAGGGCAGGUGAGUUCGAACCGUAGACCGUUGUGAACUUCCAGGGGCGGCCGUCUGAGGUCCUAGAAAGGAUGGCUGUGACAGAGAAUUCUCCGAUCAGGGAGGACAAGAGAGAAUGUUCUACGGGUUCCAAAUUAGCCAGAUGACCCCGGAGGCGCCUAACGCGGGCUGGGAGAGCCACAGGCAUGGCCUGCGACCCUAGACCUGCCGUAUGAGUUGUAGGGAGGGGACCGACUAUUUGGUUUCGAUGAGCGCUAAUACAAUAGGAUUGUAUUUAGCGCACGGGUCCCUGACUACUGAACGUUUGGGCUCAAGACCCAACAUUCCACAAGAUAAGCUUCAUGAGAAGGUGGGGAUGAGGGACUGGGCAACCAAUCUGGGAGAUCUCCUGCAGGAGGCCAGUGGAUGGGGUUGGUGCUAUCACUUGGGCUGGUGUGCGAGAGGGAGCCUUGAGGUCGUAGUUGAUGCUGGAGAAGAGAUUGCGAACUUCCCUUCCCCCCUUAAUUCUUACCUUGAGCCUACUUUGGGCAUCAACUUUGAAGAAAACGGUGAAAAGGGUCUUCCGAGCCUUCUGGGGGAAAACUCAUCACUCUAAGAAACUCCAUGAAGUCUCCUUGGCCAUGGUCCACUCCUUCGACGAAGUCGGAGUCUACGGAAGCCGGGGGGGUCUGGGAAGGAGACCCACCAGUGGUGGAGGAGUCCGAUGAGGUUCCUCGACAAAGGGGGGAGAAGAGGAUCGGGGGAGUAAGAGGGAUGGAGGUCCGAGGGGAGAUCAGGGUAGGGUUCCGGAGAAGGGGGGGCACGGGUGGUAAGGAGAAGGGGGAGUUAGAGAGCAAAGGGGACACCGGGAGAGAGGAAGCAGGGGCAGGGGCAGGGGCAGUGGCAGGAGGGGAAGGUUGGGCAGGAGAGGUUGAGGGAUAAGGCUGCGCUCCCAGGGAGUUAGCAAAGAAUGAGGCGAGAGAAGGGCAAGAGGGAUGCCAGGAGCCGUUGGUGGCGGAGAGGAAUCAGGGGGAGGGGGAAGAGUGCGGAAGAUAAGUGGAGCGAUAGGGUAGAAGGCCGUCAAAAAAGGAGCAAAGACGUGGAUCGGGGUAGAGAAAGGGCCGUGCCGUUGGUAGAAAGGGUACAGGGGGCCAACCUGGGCAUAAUAGGACAAGGAGCUUGGGGAAGAGCUUACCUGGCAAAUGGGUACCAAGGUAGGCGUAUAAUUCAGGAGGGGGUCCAAGAGGGGGACCAGGAGGGAGGCGAGAAGGGUGGGGUCAGGUGGGGAGAGGUCAUAAGAACGAACCAUCAGGAUCCCGACGGGAGCCUCGUGCGGGUCCGUUGACGAUGAAGGGAUGGACGGCUGAGCGGAGAUGAGAGAGGGGAGAGAAGGGGGGCAGGGGCAACCCUGAAGGCUAACAUGAUGAGGUGGUGGACAGAAGAGGAGCAAGGGCUCUCAGUAUGGGAGGAAAGGGCAGAGGGGGGGGCCGACAGAGGUAAGGGAAAGCGGUAGGGCCCUAGACUCUUGCGGCCCCCUAGGAGGGGGCUGAGGAUGAGGAGAGAGGGAGAUUGGAGGGGGUGGGGAGAGGGGAGAGGGGAGGGGCGAUAGAGGGAGGGAGGGAAGGGGAUAAGGGGGGACAAGAAGGGGCGGUGAAGAGCGAGGAGGGAGGUGAAGAAGGGGUCAGGAGGAAAAAGGGGGAAGGGGAGUGAAGCAGGGAGGAUCUCAAGGGGAUAGAAAGGUGAAGGGGGGCGGGUUUCCCUAGGUGGGUUCGCGAUAGGGGCAGAUUGUGGGCAGUUAGAGUACACAGGUGGAGGGGGAGAGAGAUGAGUGAUAGGUGGCAAGAGGGGAAGGGGGGGAUGGGACGAUGAGGGGACGGUUGCAGGGUAGAGAGAAAGGGUCGGGGCAGGUCCGGGCUCAGCAGCCCGUGGUGAGCGUGAGCGGGAGAGGGGCCUGACGGGGCAUAGUUUACUAGCGACUUGCCCGAGGGGGGUGACACGACAGUAAGAGGCACCGACAGAACGGGGAUAAGAAGAGGGAAGGGACGUUCUAAGGGACGAGACAGGAUGGGACGGGGGGUUGCAAGAAGACGGUUGGGACAGGGUUAGGGUAUGCCUCUGAAGUUGAUGAUGGGACAGCUACCGGCCUAUCGCCCUCAGCAAUAAACUGGCUGCGGGGCCUCCACGUCUUUCGUACGGACUGCUAUAUGGAAGACGUUGGAUGUCUCCAGGAAGAGAUCCCGGCGGGCUUGGGCUGAGGUUGAGUGUUGCGCCGCUGCUGAAGGUGCCGUUUCCUGGUCACCACUGUCUAGUCCGACGAGGAUGGGUCCGUUGACAGAAUUUCGGGUGGAGAGGAGAUGGGCAGGUUGGGUGAGGCCAAGGUCCAAGAAGUAUGAGAACAUAAAUACAGACCAUCAACCUCGAUCCAAAUCGAGGAGGGGAUGAGGGUAGGUUCCAGGGUGUCUAGCAAGUGUCAAAUGGAACCAUGCGGUAAGAAUUCGAGCGACCUCCAGAGGAUAGCAACCAGAUGACCGCAAGAAGCAGCAAUUUUCGUGAAAGUGAGGAGGGACCAAGUGUGGAGGGGAAUAUUGGAGACUGUGAGCCAUACUCUUGAAGGCUGGAUGGAACCGAGUCUCGGAGACCACUCCCUAAGGGAGAGAGUCGCUCCUUUAAAAGACAAAGGGGUAGAAGAGCUCAAAGCGGAGCGAGCUCCUAGAGCGGAUGGACAAGAGAAAAGAAGAGCACCAUCAGAUAAUUGCUUGCACACAAGGUUGGGCUCGUUCCAAACACGUUGGCCCCAUUUUUCAAUCGCCUUGAAGUCGUCCCUUCGGGGGCGAAAAGUACCCACCAAAGAUGAGCGCAGGUUGAAACCUCGGAGGGCACUGAAACGGAAAGAGAGGAGAGAGGCGAACUAAUCAAGGAUGGAGGGGGAGAGGUGGGGUCUAUGGAGGGAGGAGGAGAGCCUCCAGCAGCAGAUGGCGAUGGAGUCCGCAGAACCUGGGCGAUGGAGGGCUUAGAUGGAGUCGAGAGCUUGGAGUGGAAGGCCCCGCUGGCUAGGGGAGCUGCGCCUAAAGGCGGUGCACCACAGGGGUGCAGUUUCGAUGAAGCCGAGUACAGAGGGGGAAAGGGGUGUUGGUAUAGGCUGUAGAUGUUGUUCCAAUCCGCUGGGGGGAACCACCAUCCGGGGGAGUGACAUCUUGAUGAAGCCGAGUACUCUCUUACAUAGGUCCAUCUUUCAUUAAUACAUUGUUGUUGUAUUAUUGCAGGAGAUCACUGCAGAUCCUAAGGUUGAAACCCCGGAGCAAAGUGUAGCCAAGUAACUGAUGAGGCGGCAUGUUCGCAACCUCCUCUGUGAAUUUUUCUAUUUCUUUGAUGGGUUCAGGUUUGUUAAUGGUCUACAGUCUAAAUUGGUACAAAAUUAUCUAUGGUGCAUUAUGGGUUCUAUUUAUUUUGGUCAUGGAAAAUAUCUGUUUUAUUACCUGGUUCAACAGGUGAAAAACAUGUUGUGUCUUUUCAAUAUUUUCUCUUCGAAACACCCUAACUUGGACCUGCUUUCACUUGAAUAGAUGUUCUUGACAUCCUCAAGAAUCGGUGAGUCGUUAUUGCUUCCAGUGGCUCAUCAAUUGCCUCUACACAAAAUGUAAAUACACGUGAUUAUGUGGCAUUGAUAUGAGAGUAUCAUACCAGCAUGACAGAUGAUAUUUUUUACUUGCACUCCUUUUUCAAUAAAAGGUUUUGCCAUUUUCUUUUUUGGCUUGGGUGCUAAAAAUUUCUCCAUUUGCAGGUUUUGAUGCUGCUUUCUUGUAUAAUGUAUUUUUCUUGAAUUACUAUAGUUCCAUGACAAUACUCAACUCUGCUAUUACUUAGACCAUGUUGGGUAAUUUAAAGGUAGUCUUUGUUAAUCUUUCCUCUCAGACUUUGUUUAUUUGCAUAGUUAUUUGUUGGCACCUUGCUGAUACAUGUAUUUCUACAAGACUUCUUUAUGGUUGGAAUUGGUUGGUUAUUAUUUGGUGGACUGCCUUCUGAUCUGUUCAUGUCACUUGCUCCUAUUUAUUUAUCAUGAAUAUAGUGGUCACAGUUUCAUUAUUACUUUAUUAUUAGAGUAAUACUAUUAUUUUGAUGGGUAGAUUGUGCUUCGAACCUUGGAAUCUAAUUAUCCAGACCUCUGGCCUUGACCAAGAAUCUAAGGGACAAUACUAGGUUUUGUCUGAAUGAAUGGUUGAGAUUUCAAACCUUCUAUUCUGGAAAAAGUGAGCUGUUCAUUACCAUUAGGAAUUCUUUUUUGGAUCGAUUGCUGGUCUUGAUUGCUAUCCAAUUUUCCGUUUGUGCAGUUAAAUAAUAUUGGACAAGGCCUCCGGGGCUCGGGUUUUUAGGCCUACAGCAAAUCAAAGGCAAUUAGCUUCACUCUAACUUGUGAGUUGAUGAUGAACUAUUGGAGCUACUGAUCUUCAGCAAUCAGCAAGAGUCUAAUGUGGGCACAGUUAUUGGAAUAUUGGAAACUCAAGGGAAUCCUUCAUUCGAUAUGUUAUAAUCCUCUAGUAACGACCAUCUAAACAAUAGCAACAACAAUUAUAGGAGAAAAAUAAAAUUUGCUAAUAAACUUUAACAAAAAGAUGACGUUUGAAUGAAUUUUCAUUCGCUAGCAUGAGUUAGUCUGAUAUUGCCAUAGCAGGAGAUUGCACCACUUGCAGUGGCACCAUAACAAAUUCUACCCAGC
rnacentral:lncRNA from 1 species